GACGAACGCUGGCGGCGUGCUUAACACAUGCAAGUCGAACGGAAAGGCCCUGCUUUUGUGGGGUGCUCGAGUGGCGAACGGGUGAGUAACACGUGAGUAACCUGCCCUUGACUUUGGGAUAACUUCAGGAAACUGGGGCUAAUACCGGAUAGGAGCUCCUGCUGCAUGGUGGGGGUUGGAAAGUUUCGGCGGUUGGGGAUGGACUCGCGGCUUAUCAGCUUGUUGGUGGGGUAGUGGCUUACCAAGGCUUCGACGGGUAGCCGGCCUGAGAGGGUGACCGGCCACAUUGGGACUGAGAUACGGCCCAGACUCCUACGGGAGGCAGCAGUGGGGAAUAGUGCACAAUGGGCGGAAGCCUGAUGCAGCAACGCCGCGUGCGGGAUGACGGCCUUCGGGUUGUAAACCGCUUUCGCCUGUGACGAAGCGUGAGUGACGGUAAUGGGUAAAGAAGCACCGGCUAACUACGUG
rnacentral:rRNA from 1 species